rnacentral:tRNA from 1 species
GGGAGCGGCUGUGUCCAUGGUGGACAUCUCGGACUUCAAAUCCGAUGGGAGGUCGGCAGACCGGCCUUUGGUGGGUUCGAUUCCCACACGUUCCCGCCA